CCUACGGGGUGCAGCAGUCGAGAAUCAUUCACAAUGGGGGAAACCCUGAUGGGGCGACGCCGCGUGGGGGAAUGAAGGUCUGCGGAUAGUAAACCCCUGUCAUGUGGGAGCAAAUUAAAAAGAUAGUACCACAAGAGGAAGAGACGGCUAACUCUGUGCCAGCAGCCGCGGUAAUACAGAGGUCUCAAGCGUUGUUCGGAAUCACUGGGCGUAAAGCGUGCGGAGGCUGUUUCGUAAGUCGUGGGUGACAGGCGCGGGCUCAACCCGCGGACGGCACAUGAUACUGCGAGACUAGAGUAAUGGCGCGGGAACCGGACUUCUCGGUGUAGCCGUGUAAUGCGUAGAUAUCGAGAGGAACACUCGUGGCGAAGGCGGGUUCCUGGACAUUAACUGACGCUGAGGCACGAAGGCCAGGGGAGCGAAAUGGAUUAGAUACCCCUGUAGUC
rnacentral:rRNA from 1 species